AGCCCAGAGCCUGAAUCAGUGUGUGUGUUAGUGGAAGCGUCUGGAAAGGCGCGCGAUACAGGGUGACAGCCCCGUACACAAAAAUGCACAURYUGUGAGCUCGAUGAGUAGGGCGGGACACGUGGUAUCCUGUCUGAAUAUGGGGGGACCAUCCUCCAAGGCUAAAUACUCCUGACUGACCGAUAGUGAACCAGUACCGUGAGGGAAAGGCGAAAAGAACCCCGGCGAGGGGAGUGAAAAAGAACCUGAAACCGUGUACGUACAAGCAGUGGGAGCACGCUUAGGCGUGUGACUGCGUACCUUUUGUAUAAUGGGUCAGCGACUUAUAUUCUGUAGCAAGGUUAACCGAAUAGGGGAGCCGAAGGGAAACCGAGUCUUAACUGGGCGUUAAGUUGCAGGGUAUAGACCCGAAACCCGGUGAUCUAGCCAUGGGCAGGUUGAAGGUUGGGUAACACUAACUGGAGGACCGAACCGACUAAUGUUGAAAAAUUAGCGGAUGACUUGUGGCUGGGGGUGAAAGGCCAAUCAAACCGGGAGAUAGCUGGUUCUCCCCGAAAGCUAUUUAGGUAGCGCCUCGUGAAUUCAUCUCCGGGGGUAGAGCACUGUUUCGGCAAGGGGGUCAUCCCGACUUACCAACCCGAUGCAAACUGCGAAUACCGGAGAAUGUUAUCACGGGAGACACACGGCGGGUGCUAACGUCCGUCGUGAAGAGGGAAACAACCCAGACCGCCAGCUAAGGUCCCAAAGUCAUGGUUAAGUGGGAAACGAUGUGGGAAGGCCCAGACAGCCAGGAUGUUGGCUUAGAAGCAGCCAUCAUUUAAAGAAAGCGUAAUAGCUCACUGGUCGAGUCGGCCUGCGCGGAAGAUGUAACGGGGCUAAACCAUGCACCGAAGCUGCGGCAGCGACGCUUAUGCGUUGUUGGGUAGGGGAGCGUUCUGUAAGCCUGUGAAGGUGUGCUGUGAGGCAUGCUGGAGGUAUCAGAAGUGCGAAUGCUGACAUAAGUAACGAUAAAGCGGGUGAAAAGCCCGCUCGCCGGAAGACCAAGGGUUCCUGUCCAACGUUAAUCGGGGCAGGGUGAGUCGACCCCUAAGGCGAGGCCGAAAGGCGUAGUCGAUGGGAAACAGGUUAAUAUUCCUGUACUUGGUGUUACUGCGAAGGGGGGACGGAGAAGGCUAUGUUGGCCGGGCGACGGUUGUCCCGGUUUAAGCGUGUAGGCUGGUUUUCCAGGCAAAUCCGGAAAAUCAAGGCUGAGGCGUGAUGACGAGGCACUACGGUGCUGAAGCAACAAAUGCCCUGCUUCCAGGAAAAGCCUCUAAGCAUCAGGUAACAUCAAAUCGUACCCCAAACCGACACAGGUGGUCAGGUAGAGAAUACCAAGGCGCUUGAGAGAACUCGGGUGAAGGAACUAGGCAAAAUGGUGCCGUAACUUCGGGAGAAGGCACGCUGAUAUGUAGGUGAAGCGACUUGCUCGUGGAGCUGAAAUCAGUCGAAGAUACCAGCUGGCUGCAACUGUUUAUUAAAAACACAGCACUGUGCAAACACGAAAGUGGACGUAUACGGUGUGACGCCUGCCCGGUGCCGGAAGGUUAAUUGAUGGGGUCAGCGCAAGCGAAGCUCUUGAUCGAAGCCCCGGUAAACGGCGGCCGUAACUAUAACGGUCCUAAGGUAGCGAAAUUCCUUGUCGGGUAAGUUCCGACCUGCACGAAUGGCGUAAUGAUGGCCAGGCUGUCUCCACCCGAGACUCAGUGAAAUUGAACUCGCUGUGAAGAUGCAGUGUACCCGCGGCAAGACGGAAAGACCCCGUGAACCUUUACUAUAGCUUGACACUGAACAUUGAGCCUUGAUGUGUAGGAUAGGUGGGAGGCUUWGAAGUGUGGACGCCAGUCUGCAUGGAGCCGACCUUGAAAUACCACCCUUUAAUGUUUGAUGUUCUAACGUUGACCCGUAAUCCGGGUUGCGGACAGUGUCUGGUGGGUAGUUUGACUGGGGCGGUCUCCUCCUAAAGAGUAACGGAGGAGCACGAAGGUUGGCUAAUCCUGGUCGGACAUCAGGAGGUUAGUGCAAUGGCAUAAGCCAGCUUGACUGCGAGCGUGACGGCGCGAGCAGGUGCGAAAGCAGGUCAUAGUGAUCCGGUGGUUCUGAAUGGAAGGGCCAUCGCUCAACGGAUAAAAGGUACUCCGGGGAUAACAGGCUGAUACCGCCCAAGAGUUCAUAUCGACGGCGGUGUUUGGCACCUCGAUGUCGGCUCAUCACAUCCUGGGGCUGAAGUAGGUCCCAAGGGUAUGGCUGUUCGCCAUUUAAAGUGGUACGCGAGCUGGGUUUAGAACGUCGUGAGACAGUUCGGUCCCUAUCUGCCGUGGGCGCUGGAGAACUGAGGGGGGCUGCUCCUAGUACGAGAGGACCGGAGUGGACGCAUCACUGGUGUUCGGGUUGUCAUGCCAAUGGCACUGCCCGGUAGCUAAAUGCGGAAGAGAUAAGUGCUGAAAGCAUCUAAGCACGAAACUUGCCCCGAGAUGAGUUCUCCCUGAC
rnacentral:rRNA from 1 species